UUUGGGGACUCCUGUUUUAUAGUUGAGUUGUGCCAUGUAUUUUUGUAAUAUAUCACUAGUCGUUGCUCGGGCGACGGUGGUGGUAAUUUUAAGUGGAUGCAUCAUUACAAGUUUUAAUUGCAUCAUUAUAUAGAAUUGUCACCAUUGUUGCUGAGUAAUGAUGGUAUAUAUUAAAACUAUUUAUAAAUCAUUAUAAAUAAAAACUUGUACCUGCAUGUUAUAGUUUUUAUGAGAAAUGUUAAACAUACUCUCUUUCUAACAAUUAAUUAAUGCUCAUUUUUAAGUUUCAUCCAAUAAAGUGCCUGUUGUUAAGUGUUAG
rnacentral:lncRNA from 1 species